GAUGAAGAACGUAGUGAAAUGCGAUAAGUAAUGUGAAUUGCAGAAUUCAGUGAAUCAUCGAGUUUUUGAACGCAUAUUGCGCCCUCUGGUAUUCCGGGGGGCAUGCCUGUUCGAGCGUCAUUAAAUAACCCUCGAGCAUAGCUUGGUGUUGGGCUUUUUUACGUCCUUGACUGGGAUGGGCCUAAAAAUUAGUGGCGAUGGCUUUUUUACUUUCAAGCGUAGUAAAUCUCGUCUUGCUAAAGAGGAAAAAGAUUUUUUUUCUGCCAAAAAUUUUAACAUUUAAAGUUGACCUCGGAUCAGGUAGGAUUACCCGCUGAACUUAAGCAUAUCAAUAAGCGGAGGA
rnacentral:misc_RNA from 1 species